UAGGGAAUCUUCCACAGUGGACGCAAGUCUGAUGGAGCAACGCCGCGUGAGUGAAGAAGGUCUUCGGAUCGUAAAGCUCUGUUGUUGGUGAAGAAGGAUAGAGGCAGUAACUGGUCUUUAUUUGACGGUAAUCAACCAGAAAGUCACGGCUAACUACGUGCCAGCAGCCGCGGUAGUACGUAGGUGGCAAGCGUUGUCCGGAUUUAUUGGGCGUAAAGCGAGCGCAGGCGGAAUGAUAAGUCUGAUGUGAAAGCCCACGGCUCAACCGUGGAACUGCAUCGGAAACUGUCAUUCUUGAGUGCAGAAGAGGAGAGUGGAACUCCAUGUGUAGCGGCUGGAAUGCGUAGAUAUAUGGAAGAACACCAGUGGCGAAGGCGGCUCUCUGGUCUGCAACUGACGCUGAGGCUCGAAAGCAUGGGUAGCGAACAGGAUUAGAUACCCUGGUAGUCCAUGCCGUAAACGAUGAGCGCUAGGUGUU
rnacentral:rRNA from 1 species